ensembl:lncRNA
GCUUGCCAUUAUAUAUAAAGCGGUGUGAGGCCUGCCAGUAUAUAGAAAGCGGUGUGAGGCCUGCCAGUAUAUAGAAAGCGGUGUGAGGCCUGCCAGUAUAUACAAAGCGGUGUGAGGCCUGCCAGUAUAUAUAAAGCGGUGUGAGGCCUGCCAGUAUAUAUAAAGCAGUGCGAGGCCUGCCAGUAUAUACAAAGCAGUGCGAGGCCUGCCAGUAUAAGUGAAGCAGUGUGAGGCCUGCCAGUAUAAGUGAAGCAGUGUGAGGCCUGCCAGUAUAUAUAAAGCAGUGUGAGGCCUGCCAGUAUAAGUGAAGCAGUGUGAGGCCUGCCAGUAUAAGUGAAGCAGUGUGAGGUCGUGACUCUGCUCUCUUCGGUGUGUCAUGGUCUUUUGCCAUAACAAAAUGUGCUAUUUAAUGAAGUCCUUACUGUAAUUCUCUCACUUAGACCAGUAUACAGGCAGCCAAAUCAGAACAGAGCCAAACCACUUCAGUCUCUCCCAGAGAAAAACACGCAUAUUUAUGGGACUUAUGCAUGUGUGAUGCUUGGAAGAUAUUGAAUUUAUGUAUGCAAAAAGGCCCUAUGCCUGUAGGUCAAUUUAUGAGAAGCCAUAACCCUUACUGUAACCCCAACCUAAAACCUAGCCUUAACCACAUUCCUAACUUAUAAACAACCCUGCCGCCUCAGAUAGUUGGACAGAUUAAUAUCACCUCCUUUGCCAAAUAACUACUAACCUUGUGGAGAUUGAGCAAAUAAGGAUCCUCGCCAUAAACUAACCCUAAGGCUGUGCAUUUCUGUUGUGAAGCUAUAAGGAAAACAUGAAAUGUGUGAAGGGAAAUCACAUCUGGACUCUGAUAGAAUUGAAUUGUUGGAUGGCAGAGGAGUUUGUCACUAACCUGUAAGGUUGCUCCAUAAGAAUCAGCCAUGUUAACGUGGUGCCUUAAACCUCUAAAGCCAAACCUGAGGAGUGUGGGAACAGCCAUCCCCUCCCCUGUCCACUCUCUACCCUCCUCCCCACUGCCCUGGUCUCCCUGGGCGCAAACUUCAACAGAGCACUACAACAGUAUUUGGUGAAGUACUAGAAUACAGAGUGUAAGUAUUCUAGAUUUCUACCAGUCCUUUACUUGUCUAAUGUCUACUCUCCUAUGUACAGUAUGUUUCCUCUCCCAUUGAACUAACAGAUGGGGGUGAAACAGCC